rnacentral:rRNA from 1 species
CGAAAGACGGGUGAGAAUCCCGUCCACCGAUUGACUAAGGUUUCCAGCGGAAGGCUCGUCCGCUCUGGGUUAGUCGGGUCCUAAGCUGAGGCCGACAGGCGUAGGCGAUGGAUAACAGGUUGAUAUUCCUGUACCACCUAUAAUCGUUUUAAUCGAUGGGGGGACGCAGUAGGAUAGGCGAAGCGUGCGAUUGGAUUGCACGUCUAAGCAGUAAGGCUGAGUAUUAGGCAAAUCCGGUACUCGUUAAGGCUGAGCUGUGAUGGGGAGAAGACAUUGAGUCUUCGAGUCGUUGAUUUCACACUGCCGAGAAAAGCCUCUAGAUAGAAAAUAGGUGCCCGUACCGCAAACCGACACAGGUAGUCAAGAUGAGAAUUCUAAGGUGAGCGAGCGAACUCUCGUUAAGGAACUCGGCAAAAUGACCCCGUAACUUCGGGAGAAGGGGUGCUCUUUAGGGUUAACGCCCAGAAGAGCCGCAGUGAAUAGGCCCAAGCGACUGUUUAUCAAAAACACAGGUCUCUGCUAAACCGUAAGGUGAUGUAUAGGGGCUGACGCCUGCCCGGUGCUGGAAGGUUAAGAGGAGUGGUUAGCUUCUGCGAAGCUACGAAUCGAAGCCCCAGUAAACGGCGGCCGUAACUAUAACGGUCCUAAGGUAGCGAAAUUCCUUGUCGGGUAAGUUCCGACCCGCACGAAAGGCGUAACGAUUUGGGCACUGUCUCAACGAGAGACUCGGUGAAAUCAUAGUACCUGUGAAGAUGCAGGUUACCCGCGACAGGACGGAAAGACCCCGUGGAGCUUUACUGUAGCCUGAUAUUGAAAUUCGGCACAGCUUGUACAGGAUAGGUAGGAGCCUUUGAAACGUGAGCGCUAGCUUACGUGGAGGCGCUGGUGGGAUACUACCCUAGCUGUGUUGGCUUUCUAACCCGCACCACUUAUCGUGGUGGGAGACAGUGUCAGGCGGGCAGUUUGACUGGGGCGGUCGCCUCCUAAAAGGUAACGGAGGCGCUCAAAGGUUCCCUCAGAAUGGUUGGAAAUCAUUCAUAGAGUGUAAAGGCAUAAGGGAGCUUGACUGCGAGACCUACAAGUCGAGCAGGGUCGAAAGACGGACUUAGUGAUCCGGUGGUUCCGCAUGGAAGGGCCAUCGCUCAACGGAUAAAAGCUACCCCGGGGAUAACAGGCUUAUCUCCCCCAAGAGUUCACAUCGACGGGGAGGUUUGGCACCUCGAUGUCGGCUCAUCGCAUCCUGGGGCUGUAGUCGGUCCCAAGGGUUGGGCUGUUCGCCCAUUAAAGCGGUACGCGAGCUGGGUUCAGAACGUCGUGAGACAGUUCGGUCCCUAUCCGUCGUGGGCGUAGGAAAUUUGAGAGGAGCUGUCCUUAGUACGAGAGGACCGGGAUGGACAUACCUCUGGUGUACCAGUUGUCGUGCCAACGGCAUAGCUGGGUAGCUAUGUGUGGACGGGAUAAGUGCUGAAAGCAUCUAAGCAUGAAGCCCCCCUCAAGAUGAGAUUUCCCAACUUCGGUUAUAAGAUCCCUCAAAGAUGAUGAGGUUAAUAGGUUCGAGGUGGAAGCAUGGUGACAUGUGGAGCUGACGAAUACUAAUCGAUCGAAGACUUAAUCAAAA